rnacentral:rRNA from 1 species
ACUAUAGCUUGACACUGAACACUGGUCCUUGAUGUGUAGGAUAGGUGGGAGGCUUUGAAGCGUGGACGCCAGUCUGCGUGGAGCCGACCUUGAAAUACCACCCUUUAAUGGCUGGUGUUCUAACGUAGACCCGUGAUCCGGGUUGCGGACAGUGUCUGGUGGGUAGUUUGACUGGGGCGGUCUCCUCCCAAAGAGUAACGGAGGAGCACGAAGGUUAGCU